AGCCCGAUGCUCACGUCUGCCCUUGCAAGCAUGGCCGACAACUCUCAGUCCGAUUCGGCUGUAGCGACAUUGCCCGAGGGGGGCAGCCCUGCUGAAUCCUCAUCCUCAGAUGCCGAUAGCCCAUCUCCCAAUGCUGCAAUCGACAUGUGAUCCUCGGCCGACACACCGAAAGACACGCUGAGACCGCUGUGAGACGGCUCAGCAGAACCAAUCGGCAGCUGCACGGGACAUGCACUGUGGGAGGAGUGAGAGGUCCGUGGGGUGUGGCCCGGUGAAGAAGCUUUCACUGUCACCCUCAGAUCUCCAAGAGGGCCAGCUCACAGUCCCCUGCUUGAGCCAGAGAAACCAGAUAGGAUUUGAAACAGCAUCCUGGAUCAUUGUGGGACACCAUUGUCAAAAGCAAACCUACAACUUUUGGCAUAUCAAAGGUCAAAGGCCACUCAUUCUUGUGUAUAAAUCAGUGAAGGGCGCCAAGGAUGUCAACAAAAAGCAACAAAUGCAUGUUGAAAGGUUGAAAUUAUUCCUAUAUUUACUAUAUAAUUAUAAUUUAUAUUCAUACUAUAUAUUUAAUCAAACUAUGUA